GAUGAAGAACGUAGCAAAAUGCGAUAAGUAAUGUGAAUUGCAGAAUUCAGUGAAUCAUCGAAUCUUUGAACGCACAUUGCGCCCGCCAGUUUUCUGGCGGGCAUGCCUGUUCGAGCGUCAUUUCAACCCUCAAGCCCCCGGGUUUGGUGUUGGGGAUCGGGCUGUACUCCAGCCCGGCCCCGAAAUCUAGUGGCGGUCUCGCUGCAGCCUCCAUUGCGUAGUAGCUAACACCUCGCAACUGGAACGCGGCGCGGCCAAGCCGUUAAACCCCCAACUUCUGAAUGUUGACCUCGGAUCAGGUAGGAAUACCCGCUGAACUUAAGCAUAUCAAUAAGCGGAGGA
rnacentral:misc_RNA from 1 species